GACGAACGCUGGCGGCGUGCUUAACACAUGCAAGUCGAACGGAAAGGCCCUGCUUUUGUGGGGUGCUCGAGUGGCGAACGGGUGAGUAACACGUGAGUAACCUGCCCUUGACUUUGGGAUAACUUCAGGAAACUGGGGCUAAUACCGGAUAGGAGCUCCUGCUGCAUGGUGGGGGUUGGAAAGUUUCGGCGGUUGGGGAUGGACUCGCGGCUUAUCAGCUUGUUGGUGGGGUAGUGGCUUACCAAGGCUUUGACGGGUAGCCGGCCUGAGAGGGUGACCGGCCACAUUAGGACUGAGAGACGGCCCAGACUCCUACGGGAGGCAGCAGUGGGGAAUAUUGCACAAUGGGCGGAAGCCUGAUGCAGCAACGCCGCGUGCGGGAUGACGGCCUUCGGGGUGUAAACCGCUUUCGCCUGUGACGAAGCGUGAGUGACGGUAAUGGGUAAAGAAGCACCGGCUAACUACGUG
rnacentral:rRNA from 1 species